rnacentral:rRNA from 1 species
UCCCUUAGAUGUUCUGGGCCGCACGCGCGCUACACUGAUGCAUUCAACGAGUUUUACCUUGGCCGAGAGGCCUGGGCAAUCUUUUAAACCUGCAUCGUGAUAGGGAUAGAUUAUUGCAAUUAUUAAUCUUGAACGAGGAAUUCCUAGUAAGCGCAAGUCAACAGCUUGCGUUGAUUACGUCCCUGCCCUUUGUACACACCGCCCGUCGCUACUACUGAUUGGAUGUUUAAGCGAGGUUCUCGAACUGCUAGCGACUUAGCUUCGGUGAGGUCGCAGUGUGGGAAGUGAACCUAGCUUUGGUGUCUAGAGGAAGUAAAAGUCGUAACA